CUUAAAACCGAGGGCUGUGCGUACGGUGGUGGGGAGGUUGGUCUCUGUAGGGCCCAAACUAAUUCACCACAACGAGGAGGAAAGCCCAGAGCUCAUUUCUGAACCUAUUGUUGACGCGUUGCUAUUCCGUACGCGUGUUUAACAGCUCUAAAAGCCAUGCCCUGAAGCUGAUCUACUGAUAAAUUGCUCUGCAGCUCCCUCUAAUGGAUCGUUUGGCCAGACAGGGGCUCGGGGCAGCAGAUGCGAUAAAGCAGCGCCCGCUGCAGAGUAACACCGAGAGAGCUCUGCAGCACCAUCGUUGCCGCUGCUAUCUCUCCCCGUCCAUCCGUCACUUCACUCUUAUCUCAGCAUCUGCUGCAGCUCUGCUUCUAAGAGCUGAGAGGAGCAGGCACAGCUAAACCAGAAGGAGGCCCACAGCUCACAGACGAGAGCACCUGAGGUGACUUGUGGCAAUGGAUUCAUUCAGGAAAUAAUCUUUUGGUCCACGUAGGCCAUGCACAGACUGGUUUCUGCUUUGGGAAUCACACAGGAGAGCUGUCCAACAAUGAGAAGUUAAGGAAUGGUGCAUGGAUUAAGCCUUUCCACAGAAUGACAGAAUCAUUAAGGUUGGACGAGACCUCUCAGAUCACCCAGUCCAACCACCAGCCCAUCUUCUCCAUGCCCACUGACCACGUCCCUCAGUGCCACAUCCACAUGAGUCUUGAACACCUCCAGGGACGGUGACUCCAACCCCUCCCUGGGCAGCCCGUGCCACUGCCAGAUGCCAUGGGACAGCUGCAUGAGCAUCUGAGACAGGCAGCCUGCAGUUAUAUUUCCCUAAGCUGACCAUGAAGGGACAAAGCAGCUUCUUAUGAAGUGGAGAUGACAACGCUUUGCUGGUGGUAAAAAAUAAAAAUAAAAAAUAAAAAAUAGAUCUAAUGUUGUGAUUGUACAGCUGGGGAAAAAAAUAGUCGGCCAAGUAUGUCAGACAACAAAAAUAAGCAAAAAUUACUUUGAUUUGGCUUCUACUAAAGGGACUAAAAAUAAAUACUUCUUUCAGAGGCCCCUUCUCAGAACAGGGGAUCGUGGAGGGCCCACAAUCCUUAUAUCAAAACACUGAAUUAGUGAAUCUGGA
ensembl:lncRNA